AUGGCGACCCACCCCUCCAAGAGGAGUUACCUGUGCGCGGGGAGCUCCUCGUUCGACGACCCCGACGUCGUCGAGGUGUCGCCGGCGGCCGCCGCCGCCGCCGGGGGGUGGAACCCCGGCCACCAGAAGAGGAAGCGGAGCCAGGUUGUUCCUCGCGAAAUAAUUGAAAUUGAUGAUGAUCCUGAUGGUGUUGUGAUUAUUGGUGAGAAAGCACCAGUUGAAAAGAAUAAACAUUCAGUUGGAUGUCCUCUUGUUUGGCCAAAGCAUGUGAAGACUAGUGUGGCUGGUGACACUGCCGGACCAAGCACCUAUGCUUCAAACAGUACUGCCAUUAUGGGUGGUUUUAAGAAAGUUAGCGCCGGACCAAGCACCUAUGCUUCAAACAGUACUACCAUUAUGGGUGAUUUCAAAAAAGUUACCUCUGGACCAAACACCUAUUUUUCAAGCAGUACUGCUGUUAAGGAUGCUUUUGCUAAAAAAUAUAUGGAAACCGCAGUUUACCAUGAUUAUGAUGACUACCCUUUCGACGCAUUCGAGGAAGAUGAAGACUUUGCUUAUGAGGAAGAUGACUACGAAAACUAUGAGUUUGAUGAUACACUUUAUGAGAAUGAAUAUAACUAUAAUUUAUCUGCCCAGUUUGAUGGCUUGGAUAUCCCGCCUGGAAUGGAGGCUCCUUUACCAUGGCUGCAGAAGACUGCCGCUGAGAUGUCGAGUAAUUCCAAACCCAUCCCAAUCUUGGACGAGAAAGUUGAUGAAAGAUACAGCACAUUUAAGCAAUUUGAUACUGUUGAUGGCCAUAGUGAUCAUUAUUAUGUGAAACCAGAGUUAAGGAAAGCUCUGGUAGUGAAGAAGCCAUCAAAAGACUGGGCGAAGCGCAUUCAGCAUGAGUGGAAAGUCUUAGAGAAAGACUUGCCAGAUACCAUAUUCGUGAGGGCAUACGAGGAUAGAAUGGACCUUCUUAGAGUUGUCAUUAUGGGUCCAGCGGGCACUCCUUACCAUGAUGGGCUCUUUUUCUUCGACAUUUACUUCCCUCCUCAAUAUCCAAACAUACCUCCACUUGUUAACUACCGCUCUGGUGGGCUGCGGCUUAAUCCAAACCUGUAUGCUUGUGGGAAGGUGUGCCUUAGCCUGUUAAACACCUGGGCUGGCAGUGGAUGUGAGAAAUGGAAUCCAUCCAAUUCAACCAUGCUGCAGGUCCUUGUCUCCAUUCAGGCCCUGGUUUUGAAUGCCAAACCUUAUUUCAAUGAGCCUGGAUAUGCUAAUUCAGCUAACACACCUGGCGGGGAGAAAAGAUCCCUAACUUAUAAUGAAGACACCUUCCUGCUGUCCUGCAGGACGAUGUUGUAUUCUCUUCGAAAUCCACCAAAGCAUUUUGAGGAUUUCGUGGCCGGCCAUUUCCGCAAGCACGGGCGCAACGUCCUGGUGGCCUGCAAGGCCUACCUGGACGGGGCGCAGGUCGGGUGCCUCGCCGGGAACGGGGUGCAGGACGUGGACGAGGGUGACAAGAGCUGCUCGCUCAAGUUCAAGACCUCGCUCAAGAGGCUGUUCGAGGAGCUGCUGAUGGAGUUCACGGUGAAGGGAGCGGACUGCAGCAAGUUCCUGUCGGAGAAGGCGAAGCAGUCGGCCGCCUCCGCCACCACCUCUAGAGGGCCGCCGGCAGACACCACCCUGAGGCUAUAA
rnacentral:rRNA from 1 species